rnacentral:rRNA from 1 species
CGGGUGCACUGAUCCGGCCGGGCCUUUCCCUCUGUGGAACCCCAUGGCCUUCACUGGCUGUGCGGGGGAAACAGGACUUUUACUGUGAAAAAAUUAGAGUGCUCCAGGCAGGCCUAUGCUCGAAUACAUUAGCAUGGAAUAAUAGAAUAGGACGCGUGGUUCUAUUUUGUUGGUUUCUAGGACCGCCGUAAUGAUUAAUAGGGACAGUCGGGGGCAUCAGUAUUCAAUUGUCAGAGGUGAAAUUCUUGGAUCUAUUGAAGACUAACUACUGCGAAAGCAUUUGCCAAGGAUGUUUUCAUUGAUAAGGAACGAAAGUUAGGGGAUCGAAGACGAUCAGAUACCGUCGUAGUCUUAACUAUAAACUAUGCCGACUAGGGAUCGGACGAUGUUAUUUCUUGACGCGUUCGGCACCUUUCGAGAAAUCAAAGUGCUUGGGCUCCAGGGGGAGUAUGGUCGCAAGGCUGAAACUUAAAGAAAUUGACGGAAGGGCACCACCAGGGGUGGAACCUGCGGCUUAAUUUGACUCAACACGGGGAAACUCAUCAGGGCAAGAAGAUUUUAGGAUUGACAGAUUGAGAGUUCUUUCUUGAUUGGUCUAGUGGUGGUGCAUGGCCGUUCUUAGUUGGUGGAGUGAUUUGUCUGGUUAAUUCCGUUAACGAACGAGACCUUAACCUGCUAACUAGUACACUGAUGACAAAUCAGUGUUACUUCUUAGAGGGACUAUCGG